rnacentral:rRNA from 1 species
GGAAUCUUCCGCAAUGGGCGACAGCCUGCCGGAGCAACGCCGCGUGCGGGAUGACGCCCUUCGGGGUGUAAACCGCUUUUCUUCCGGAAGAACGUGGGGGGUGAAUCUCACCUGACGGUACGGGAGGGCGAAGGACCGGCUAACUACGUGCCAGCAGCCGCGGUAAUACGGAGGGUCCGAGCGUUGCCCGGAGUGACUGGGCGUAAAGCGCGCGCAGGCGGCGGGGUAAGCAUGGCGUGAAAGCCCCCGGCUCAACCGGGGAGAGUCGUCGUGGACUGCACCGCUUGAGGGCGGUAGGGGCUGGUGGAAUGCCUGGUGUAGUGGUGAAAUGCGUAGAGAUCAGGCGGAACACCCGUGGCGAAGGCGGCCAGCUGGGCCGUCCCUGACGCUGAGGCGCGAAGGCGUGGGGAGCGAAC